ACGUUGAAACAUCAGUUCCUGUAUGAUCACCAAAGUUAAGCAACGUCGAGUCUGGUCAGUAACUCGAUGGGUGACCACUUGGGAAGAUGAGAUGCUGUAU